ensembl:lncRNA
GUUGUUGAACUUAUCAGGAUUGCAUGCUCAAUGAAACUCUGUUUCCUGGAGUCUGAACACCUCAGAGGUGACCAGUGUCUCUUCUUGAUUGACUGAGGUAUUUACUUGUUUCUGCUGUUCAUUCCAUGAAGGCAGAUUUCUUUACCGACCGAUCCAACAGGGAAGACUUAAAAGAAGUUGCAAAAAUAGUACGUAGAAUCCCUUGAACCUUUCACGCAGCUACCUAUGUAUUUCUUUUUAGUUUGUCUAUUGUAUGUGAACUCCAGGAGUUGCUGAUGGACAGGGAUGCCUGGCGUGCUGCAAUUCAUGGGGUCACAAAGAGUCGGACACGACUGAGCGAC